GAGCGCGCGGCGUGAUGCACUGCGAACCUGCUCUCGGUCGGUCGGGAUCGAAACGUAUCACAGCGUGGGCCAGCUUCGCUAGAGGAAGGGGGGAGCUUGCCAUCUGUACACGCACUCAUACACACACCAUCAAAGACACCUCAUUCGUGUUUUGCGAGGUCCAGGUGGAUGUCAAAGACCACCAUCACCUAUGUCAAUAGCUGGAACAACAACGCGGAAUAGAGCGCUCCGCAAAACCACCGUUGCCUGGAACCGCUACUGUCCUGCUUUAUUUUGUUUCUUCUUCAUUCGCGUGCCUGUGCGUGCGGGCGCUCGCUCUUGACCCGCCAGCGUGCAUUGCUCGUCAUCUCUUUUUUGUUUUUGCUGUUGCUGUUUGCUCGCUCUAUUAGGUUUCUCUUCUGCUUCCUUCCUUCCUCUCCCCCCGACUGGCGCCACGACUGCGCUGCCAGCGGGUGUGCCGUGCUCUGUGUUCACCCUCACAAGCCCGUCCACCUUACUCUCUGUCAUAUUGCCGUGGCCGCCGCCGCUUCGAGGCCCGCUAUCUCGGCUUCGCCCUUGCAGGUGUGCACAUCACGGUCUUCGAGCCUGUGAGGCUACUAACGUUGCCACACAUACGGGUUACUGGAGCGGCUUCUGUGUCGUCUCGUUCUCCACAUCGCUGCAUUUUUCGAUUCAUGUCAGUGCCGGUCGCGGGGAGACGCAAGGGGCUAAGUUCCGCCUCAUCCCCAUCAUCCGUCGCGCCACUCCCCCCGACUCAGGAAGCAGAUGGCCCGUCCUGGUUAAACGACCUGAACGGCAGCACAAUGCCGCCUGCCGCACCUUUGGUCGUCCAAGUGUCGCCCAGCCACCGACAGUCGUAUUCUACAAGCGUAACCCCACGGUGUCCCGUGGCCGCUGCGACUCCGGCCGCACACGAAGCUCCGGCGAGCGAGGGCAACCCACUUGCCUUCCUGAACGAAGUCGAGGCACCACCUUCAGCAACUGCCGAUGAGGGCUGGCACAGUAAGGUGACCGCCUCUGGUGGGCCGAUCGCUUCGUCGCUGUUGCCCUCCUCACCGGCAGUGCCCGUCUUUCUGCAGGAAGAUGGCGAUGACGCACCCGCAGUCGAUGCAACGAUUUCGAUGGCAGGCGCUCUCCCGUCUGUCGACCGCACUACCGCUACCACCGUUGGUGUUUCUGCCUCACACCGCGCGGAGGAGGAGAGGCAGCAGGCAGCGAAAAUGGCUCUCAGUCAACAGCUCUCUGAAAUAGAGCGUCAAUUGAGCGAGGCGUCGCAGAGCGUAGUCGCCCUUCAGAAAGGCGAGCAUCCGCUUGCGGUCGAAGUGUCCGAAGCCGAGCGUGUGGUGGCUUCCCUCAGGACCAAAGAGGCUGCGGCUCGUCAGCAAAAAGCGGAAGAAGAUGCUCACAUCCGGCAAGUGGCUUGCGCAAAUGCAGUCGCGACUGUGCAUGCGAGGGACGUGGAGGAGGAGAUGCGCGAAUAUCGCGGCCAAUGCGUCCAGCGCCUCCAGCAGCAUGUAGAGGAUCUCAUGCAGACCGUGCAGGAGCAGCAGAUGCGCACCGCCACCCUUCGAGCAGAGUGGGAGGCCGCCGUCACACGUGAGGCACAGGAUGGCAGUGAGGCCUCCAUGUUUGAAGCCCUACUGCUUCGCGUGCAGGACGGUGCGCGUCAUUUGAAGCGACGACUGUCGUUACAAUGCAGCCGCGCCGUGGCGGAGAGUUCCCGGGUGUACUUGGCGGCAGCGCGGCAGCAGCGAGUCGAGAUCUUUGCCAAUGACACGGCAACCCGUGCGCGAACGCUGGCGGAGCACCGAUCUCGGCGCGAGGAGGAGGCGGCCGCGUUCCACGACAUGUGUCGCCGCACCUUUCAGGAGCGCGCAGACUCCGCCUUUGGUGCCGCCAAGGUAGCCUUCGAAGCGGCACAUCGGUACCAUGACAACGAGCGUCGUCAGCGUGUAGCCGCCUUCCAGUGCCAGCUCGCUUCCAUGACAGAGCGAAGCCGCGAGAUGCUGGAGCAGCAGGUACGCCGCCUACUCGAGCAGGAGUGUGCGAUCACCAUCACGCAACAGGACGCGGCCGCCAAGGAGUGGACGGCGCGUCAAAAGGAGCUGACGGCGCAGCUCCACGCAUUUCGCUCGCGUGCGGAGGUGGAAGUCUGCCUGAUGCGCGAAGGCGGCGGGGUGCAUCGUGCCUCCGUCGGGUCGCCGUCUCAGACGCCGGCGCCGCCCGUACCGGCGCAGGAGGCGCUGCGCAGCGAGGUGGACCGUGCGCGUGCGCGAAUGGGGCAACUCGCGCUCUCGUUGCGCAUCAAACACGAGCAGCAGUCGUGCCCCUCAUAUGCACGGGGGGCUACCCGCGCCGUCGACUACCAGGGCAGUGGUGGCGCGUGCCGUUCGGGGAACUCGCCCGCAACUUCGUCUUUUUCAGUGGCGCAAAUCAGCGCGGAAUGGCAGCGGUCCCUCGUCUCCCUGCAGCACAGUCGUGAGACACUUCGGAGCAGCAUAUCUGAUGUCAAGGUGGCGAGCCGUGGCUAUGCCGCGCAGCUGCAGCAACGCCGCACGCAGCUCAUUCAGCAGCGGGAGGAUAUCAAGGCCGUUUGCGCCGAAUGGGAGCAGGCGGUUCGUGGGCAGCUGUCGAGGUGCCUGACAGCAGCGAGCUCACAAGUGCCUGCCCACGUUGGCCUCACGACCGGCGCUCUCGACAACUUGAGCCGACGUGUUGGUGUCAUCCUGCGGGCCCAUCAAUCGCUGCGCACGGCUCGGACCACUUUCACAGCGAAUCUCGGCACGUGGUCAAAGUCCCUUUCUGACUACCGCCUCGACACGGAACGCCUUCUUGCGGACGUUUUUCAGCAGCUAGACCUCCUUCGCGAACGAAGUGUUCAGAUGGAGGUGGACCAGUCGACGCUGCAGUGCUUGCAGGCGCAGGUCAACGUGCUCGAGCAGCACGUUACCGAGGGGGCAAGGCGGCUGGCCAUCCGCAAGCGGUGUGUCGACGCUUUCGUGAAGGACCUUCGUGCAGGUUUGGGUCAGUCGCACACGCUCCCAAGCUCGGUUGAUCCUCGACUGCUGCCAGCGAGGCACAGGGAACAAUCUACGCACGUGACGCAGAACUUCAAGGACGCCAACAGCACUUCAGCGAUUUGCGGUGUAGCGAGUCCUGCCGCCGCGGCGGCGGUGGUGUCCAAUGCGGACCGUCGGGAGAAGCGUGUAAAGAAGAUGGCGCCUCCGCACAAAAGGACAAUGAAGAAAACGCCAUCUUUAGCGCACAUAAAUGCGCCCCCUGCGACUUCCUGCUCCCUUGUAACGCGAACAAACCGUGUAACAAGUCGCCGCAGCCGCAACCACUCGCAGGAAGAUCGGCGCGCCGCUACCGCUGGCAUAACGCGAAGGACGGGGCUGACCACGCCGGACGUCGACGUGCUUGGCAGCUGCUCCCUGUACCCUAUUCUUCCAACGCUCGAAGGGAACCGCCCGUAUGCCGCAGCCGUGAAAUCGGCCUCUUCGUUUUCCUCCGCGUCCGCCUAUGGCUCUUCCGCUGUGCACGACUCCUCCGCCGCAGUCGAUGCGGAGGCCGACGAGGAGGAGGGAAGGGGGGAGAGCGAUUUCUCCACCGACCUUGUGCCCUUCGGGGAUGUCCGUGGCAGCCUCCUCGAUGCGCCAGCCACCUGCACUCGGUGAUUCUCUGAUGUGCUUUAGUUACCUGUUUUUUUUUCUUCGUCCCCCGCUGUUUCCCGCAUGUUGCGAGGCAACGCCAGC
rnacentral:misc_RNA from 1 species